rnacentral:rRNA from 1 species
ACAUCGCCAUAAGAGGGGCUUGCGUCUGAUUAGUUAGUUGGUGGGGUAAAUGCUUACCAAGACUAUGAUCAGUAGUUGGUCUGAGAGGACGAUCAGCCACACUGGGACUGAGACACGGCCCAGACUCCUACGGGAGGCAGCAGUGAGGAAUUUUCCGCAAUGGGCGAAAGCCUGACGGAGCAAUGUCGCGUGGAGGAAGAAGGCCCGUGGGUCGUAAACUCCUUUUGUCAAAGAAGAAAAUAUGACGGUAUUUGACGAAUAAGCAUCGGCUAACUCCGUGCCAGCAGCCGCGGUAAUACGGGGGAUGCAAGCGUUAUCCGGAAUUAUUGGGCGUAAAGGGUCCUGAGGUGGCUAGCCAAGUCUAUUGUGAAAUAUCAGGGCUUAACCCUGAACAUGCGGUGGAAACUAGAAAGCUUGAGU